AAAGGUCUCGUUGGUGACCAGCGGAGGGUCAUUACCGAGUUUACAACUCCCAAACCCAAUGUGAACGUUACCAAACUGUUGCCUCGGCGGGAUCUCUGCCCCGGGUGCGUCGCAGCCCCGGACCAAGGCGCCCGCCGGAGGACCAACCAAAACUCUUUUUGUAUACCCCCUCGCGGGUUUUUUAUAAUCUGAGCCUUCUCGGCGCCUCUCGUAGGCGUUUCGAAAAUGAAUCAAAACUUUCAACAACGGAUCUCUUGGUUCUGGCAUCGAUGAAGAACGCAGCGAAAUGCGAUAAGUAAUGUGAAUUGCAGAAUUCAGUGAAUCAUCGAAUCUUUGAACGCACAUUGCGCCCGCCAGUAUUCUGGCGGGCAUGCCUGUCCGAGCGUCAUUUCAACCCUCGAACCCCUCCGGGGGGUCGGCGUUGGGGAUCGGCCCUGCCUCUUGGCGGUGGCCGUCUCCGAAAUACAGUGGCGGUCUCGCCGCAGCCUCUCCUGCGCAGUAGUUUGCACACUCGCAUCGGGAGCGCGGCGCGUCCACAGCCGUUAAACACCCAACUUCUGAAAUGUUGACCUCGGAUCAGGUAGGAAUACCCGCUGAACUUAAGCAUACUAA
rnacentral:rRNA from 1 species